GUCUACGGCCAUGCCACCUUGAACAAGCCCAAUCCUGUCUGAUCUCAGAAGCAAAGCAGGGUCGGGUCUGGUUAGUACUUGGAUGGGAGACCACCUAGGAAAACCAGGUACUGUAGGCG
rnacentral:rRNA from 1 species